rnacentral:rRNA from 1 species
UAACGAUGAAGAGUUUGAUCCUGGCUCAGGAUGAACGCUAGCGGCAGGCCUAACACAUGCAAGUCGAGGGGUAACGUGAGUGCUUGCACUUGACGACGACCGGCGGACGGGUGCGUAACGCGUAUACAAUCUACCUAUUACUAAAAGAUAGCCCAGAGAAAUUUGGAUUA